UGCNGUCGANCGAGAUCUUCGGAUCUAGUGGCGCACGGGUGAGUAACGCNNNNAAACCUGCCAUUCUGUACGGAAUAACGUUUGGAAACGAACGCUAAUACCGUAUACGCCCUGUGGGGGAAAGGUCCGCCGCAGAAUGAGGGGUCCGCGUCCGAUUAGCUUGUUGGUGGGGUAAUGGCCUACCAAGGCGACGAUCGGUAGCUGGUCUGANAGGAUGAUCAGCCACACUGGGACUGAGACACGGCCCAGACUCCUACGGGAGGCAGCAGUGGGGAAUAUUGGACAAUGGGGGCAACCCUGAUCCAGCAAUGCCGCGUGUGUGAUGAAGGCCUUAGGGUUGUAAAGCACUUUCAAUGGCGAAGAUGAUGACGGUAACCAUAGAAGAAGCCCCGGCUAACUUCGUGCCAGCAGCCGCGGUAAUACGAAGGGGGCGAGCGUUGUUCGGAAUUACUGGGCGUAAAGGGCGCGCAGGCGGCUAAUCCAGUCAGGUGUGAAGUCCCCGGGCUUAACCUGGGAACUGCACUUGAUACUGAUUAGCUAGAAAACGGAAGAGGAGAGUGGAAUUCCCAGUGUAGAGGUGAAAUUCGUAGAUNUUGGGAAGAACACCAGUGGCGAAAGCGGCUCUCUGGUCCNAUUUUGACGCUGAGGCGCGAAAGCGUGGGGAGCGAACAGGAUUAGAUACCCNGGUAGUCCACGCCGUAAACGAUGUUAACUAGUUGUCNGGGGGUUGCCCCUCGGUGACNCCGCUNACGCAUUAAGUUAACCGCCUGGG
rnacentral:rRNA from 1 species